rnacentral:rRNA from 1 species
UAAUACAGGGGGUGCAAACGUUGCUCGGAAUUAUUGGGCGUAAAGCGCGCGUAGGCGGCUACUUAAGUCGGAUGUGAAAGCCCUUGGCUCAACUGAGGAAGUGCACCCGAAACUGAGUAGCUGGAGUACGAAAGAGGGUCGCGGAAUUCCCGGUGUAGAGGUGAAAUUCGUAGAUAUCGGGAGGAACACCGGUGGCGAAGGCGGCGACCUGGGUCGAUACUGACG